GUCUACAGCCAUACCACCCUGAAUGCACCCCAUUUCCUCUGAUCUUGGAAGCUAAGCAGGGUCAGGCCUGGUUAGUACUUAGUACUUGGAUGAGAGACAUGUCUCUAAGUGCAGAUU
rnacentral:rRNA from 1 species